GACGUGGCUGGCUAGGAAUUCCGCAGAUUGAGAAUCUCCAAGGACCACGCAUCUCUCACCUGCGCGGCUCUGGGUUCUGUGUGUCUACACACACGGCUGGGUGGCCCCUACCACGUCUACUUUCUGCUUAUAUCGCUCUCCAGAUUUGGGCUUGCUUUCCGACGCAAAAAAAUUAGCACGAGGCUGACAAGCCGCAGCCCGAAACCAGCACUAGCUGUGCGAUGAGCGUUGGGUUUUGGGCGGGAAAAGGGCGAUUUGGACGCGAGCCGCGCGGGCGGGUUUUCCCGACUUUUUCCACAAUAAAUGCGAUUUUUGUCCGACGUUUGAGCCCCCCUCCAAACAACCGCCGCGGACUUGUUGUCGGACCCACAUUCAACUUUUUUAAUAUAUGCUUUGAGACGCGCAUGUAAGUGAAAAUGUGGGCGUAUAGAUGUGGAAUACAAGUACGAGUAUCAGCAUGGCGAGUGGGAAUCGACCGUCUCAGAGAUUUAUCGGUCCACUAGGAGUAAUCUGAAU
rnacentral:misc_RNA from 1 species